rnacentral:rRNA from 1 species
ACKGCUCAGUAACACGUGGACAACCUACCCUCAGGUCGGGGAUAAACCCGGGAAACUGGGUAUAAUACCCGAUAGAUCUCGGCUGCUGGAAUGCAUCGAGCUCUAAAGCUCCGGCGCCUGAGGAUGGGUCUGCGGCCUAUCAGGUAGUAGUGGGUGUAGCGUACCUACUAGCCUACGACGGGUACGGGUUGUGAGAGCAAGAGCCCGGAGAUGGAUUCUGAGACACGAAUCCAGGCCCUACGGGGUGCAGCAGGCGCGAAAACUUUACAAUGCCGGCAACGGCGAUAAGGGGACCUCGAGUGCCAGGUUACAAAUCUGGCUGUCGUGAUGCCUAAAAAGCAUUGCAUAGCAAGGGCCGGGCAAGACCGGUGCCAGCCGCCGCGGUAACACCGGCGGCUCGAGUGGUAACCGUUAUUAUUGGGUCUAAAGGGUCUGUAGCCGGCCGGAUAAGUCUCUUGGGAAAUCCAGCAGCUUAACUGUUGGGCUUUCAGGAGAUACUGUCUGGCUCGAGGCCGGGAGAGGUGAGAGGUACUUCAGGGGUAGGGGGUGAAAUCCUGUAAUCCUUGGGGGACCACCUGUGGCGAAGGCGCCUCACCAGAACGGCUCCGACAGUGAGGAACGAAAGCUGGGGGAGCAAACCGGAUUAGAUACCCGGGUAGUCCCAGCUGUAAACGAUGCGCGUUAGGUGUAUCGGUGACCACGAGUCACCGAGGUGCCGAAGAGAAAUCGUGAAACGUGCCGCCUGGGAAGUACGGUCGCAAGGCUGAAACUUAAAGGAAUUGGCGGGGGAGCAC